rnacentral:rRNA from 1 species
UACAGAGGUCUCAAGCGUUGUUCGGAUUCAUUGGGCGUAAAGCGCGCGUAGGCGGCCCGAUAAGUCCGCUGUGAAAGUCAACGGCUCAACUGUUGGAUGCCGGUGGAUACUGUCGGGCUAGAGUACGGAAGAGGCAAGUGGAAUUCCUGGUGUAGCGGUGGAAUGCGCAGAUAUCAGGAGGAACACCUAUAGCGAAGGCAGCUUGCUGGGACGUUACUGACGCUAAGGCGCGAAAGCGUGGGGAGCGAACAGG